CCUACGGGAGGCAGCAGUGAGGAAUAUUGGUCAAUGGACGAGAGUCUGAACCAGCCAAGUAGCGUGAAGGAUGACUGCCCUAUGGGUUGUAAACUUCUUUUAUACGGGAAUAAAGUGAGGCACGCGUGCCUUUUUGUAUGUACCGUAUGAAUAAGGAUCGGCUAACUCCGUGCCAGCAGCCGCGGUAAUACGGAGGAUCCGAGCGUUAUCCGGAUUUAUUGGGUUUAAAGGGAGCGUAGGCGGGUGCUUAAGUCAGUUGUGAAAGUUUGCGGCUCAACCGUAAAAUUGCAGUUGAUACUGGGUACCUUGAGUGCAGCAUAGGUAGGCGGAAUUCGUGGUGUAGCGGUGAAAUGCUUAGAUAUCACGAAGAACUCCGAUUGCGAAGGCAGCCUGCUAAGCUGCAACUGACAUUGAGGCUCGAAAG
rnacentral:rRNA from 1 species